UGGGGAAUUUUGGACAAUGGGGUAAACCCUGAUCCAGCCAUCCCGCGUGUGCGAUGAAGGCCUUCGGGUUGUAAAGCACUUUUGGCAGGAAAGAAACGUCAUGGGUUAAUACCCCGUGAAACUGACGGUACCUGCAGAAUAAGCACCGGCUAACUACGUGCCAGCAGCCGCGGUAAUACGUAGGGUGCAAGCGUUAAUCGGAAUUACUGGGCGUAAAGCGUGCGCAGGCGGUUCGGAAAGAAAGAUGUGAAAUCCCAGAGCUCAACUUUGGAACUGCAUUUUUAACUACCGGGCUAGAGUGUGUCAGAGGGAGGUGGAAUUCCGCGUGUAGCAGUAAAAUGCGUAGAUAUGCGGAGGAACACCGAUGGCGAAGGCAGCCUCCUGGGAUAACACUGACGCUCAUGCACGAAAGCGUGGGGAGCAAACAGG
rnacentral:rRNA from 1 species